AUUGAACGCUGGCGGCAGGCCUAACACAUGCAAGUCGAGCGGAUGAAGGGAGCUUGCUCCUGGAUUCAGCGGCGGACGGGUGAGUAAUGCCUAGGAAUCUGCCUGGUAGUGGGGGAUAACGUCCGGAAACGGGCGCUAAUACCGCAUACGUCCUGAGGGAGAAAGUGGGGGAUCUUCGGACCUCACGCUAUCAGAUGAGCCUAGGUCGGAUUAGCUAGUUGGUGGGGUAAAGGCCUACCAAGGCGACGAUCCGUAACUGGUCUGAGAGGAUGAUCAGUCACACUGAAACUGGGAACCGGCCCAACCUCCUACGGGAGGCAGAGGUGGGAAAUUUUGGAAAAUGGGCGAAAGCCUGUCCAAGCCAGGCCGGGUGUGUGAAGAAGGCCUUCGGAUUGUAAAGCACUUAAAGUUGGAGGAAGGGCAGUAAGUUAAUACCUUGCUGUUUUGACGUUACCAACAGAAUAAGCACCGGCUAACUUCGUG
rnacentral:rRNA from 1 species